UGAGACUCCAUCUCAAAAAAAAAAAAAAGACAAAAUAAUUCUUCACAAAAUAAAAAGUUAAUUGAAAGUAAAACACCCUAUUCUUUAGUCUCACAAGUUCCAAAACCAAAAAUGCAGAGAUGCAGAGUGUCUCACUAAUGUUAUAUUUAUUUUCAUUCCAAACUAGGAAACAAAGCAACAGGUUAAAUUAUUGGGAUAUCCUGGGCUAUCUCUAAGACUUUGUAUAAACAUACCCAUCUUAAAAGCACUAAAUAAUGAAAUUCUCUAUUCAAAAUGUGCUAUUAAAAGCACCAUUCUACCGAGUUUAUCUUUGGCUCUUUGGCUAGAGGAGGUCUGAUCAUGAGGAAAGCUUGGAUUAUAUAUCUUAAUAGAUGAUUUUGCCUCAAUCUUUUGAGCUAUUCUCCAGGAAGGCUGUGAAGAUUCUUAAGAUCCUCUCAGAAGCAUUUGAUACCAGAAAAGUGCAAUAAUGGAAACGCUUAAGAGUUAAGCAGAAAAUUUUAACUGUUCAAAAAUUUGGGCCCUGAUUCAGGUUAACAAGAUGCUAGUCCUGCAGUAAAGACCAGUGGCUACUGGUUUGGCCUCUUGAAAUGGUCUGCCUCAAGUGUGAAUCCCAGGUUUACUACCUAGCCAUGUGACCUACAGCAAGUUACCUGAACUCUUUAAGCCUAUUUCCCUGCUGCAAAAUGGCAGAAUGUUUACCAGGUUGCUUACAUAAUCCAUGUAAAGUGCUUAGUAUAUACCAAGUGCUCCAUAAAUACUAAUUUACGUUGUGACAUGUCCCUUUCAAUAAUAGCUAACAAAAGUAUCAGUGCUUAUAACUAAUGAUCUGAAAAUGUAUUUGGAAAAAAUGAAUCCUUAAUCCUAGGGAUUCCCUGCACUGAACCCAAACCCAGACUAUGUUUUACUGAUCUGGGAACUUGUUUUCCUAGGAUGCAGUGUGGUUAAGCAAGUUGUGCCAGAGACUGAUUCUGCGUAAGCACACAUGCACAUUUUCUUAACUUUGAUUCCCUACUUUGGAACAAUUAUUAUGCUGUUCAACAAGGAUACCUUAAACUAGCAGAAUACAGAUUUAACAUGCUAUUGAAAUACUUUAGUAGGAAAAAUGUUAUCAACAGUUCUUAGAUGUAAAGCAUAAAAGCAAACUCAAUGGCGAGUUUAAGGAGUAAAGCUAUCAAUUGGUUGAAAAAGAAACUAUUUGCAUAAAGCUAAUUUCCUUUUUUUCUUUGAGACAGGGUCUCACUCUUGUCCAGGCUAGAGUGCAGUGGUGUGAUCACAGCUCACUGCAGCCUCAAACUCUUGGGUUCCAGAGAUCCUCUCACCUCAGCCACUCUGGUAGCUACGACUACCUGCAGCAGCCUGUAGGCACGGAGAAGAAUACAAACCAGAGAAUCAGCUAGCAAACUUGACGGGUGAUGAGAACUGUUCAAGACAACCCUGAAGAUGUUGCUUGUUUGAUAAAGUUGCUGGUGCUGCAGAUACUGAAGAUAGAACAACAGUUAAGCUUUCUGUGUAUGUGUGUGUUUUCUGUCUUUCUUUGUAAUCAGUCUGGGUAUAAAAGUGAGCAGUGAAGAAUUGGGGGAAAUAAAUCUACUUUUUAAACAUGUUAAAUUUGGAAAAUAUGUAGAGCUCAGAAGAAAGGUAUAAACUUAAGUUAGAGAUUUGAGUUAGUGAAGCUCUAAGAGGGGCAGAGUGUAAAGGUGAGGGCAACAAGUGUAUGUGCACACACAAUUACACACAUACACCAGUGGCAGGCAAAAUCAGAUUAAAUUCCUUCUUAGCAAAACUUCCAAUUCUGCGAAGAUUUUUCCUAUCUGAAAGAAUUUACUGAAACAAUAUUAGAGAUUUUUUUUUCUAACCACUUCAUAAAUAAUAAAACUGAGCAACAGAGAGGAUGGGUGGCUGACUUGUUAAGGAACUCCUAAUUAGUGCUAAAGAGUCUUAAAACCUAGGUUUCUGGGCUCCCAAUUCCAGGUUCCUUGGAAGUCAAGAGAAGACAAAAACAUGCAAACAUUUACUUUAUCACCAACUUCACUUGAAUAAAACAUUCCAUAAGAUUAAGAUUAAUGCUUCCUUUGUCUGACACAUCUAUUUAAGCCACAUGACUAGUUAGUUUCAGCACGUUACUAGGCCAGCUCAGCAAUGCUCAAAAGCAAUUCAAUUUUCAAAGAACAGUUCUUGAGAUACAUACAAUAAAGCUCAGAUUAACCAGGAAUCAUCAAACCAGACUUGUUUUACUUUCUACUUAUAAAGAACAUAAGAAAGCACUCUUGAUCCAAGGCAUGGCACUGAGCUGGAUUACACCUGCUCUGAUCUUUAUUACUUUCUGUAUGUAAAAUUCUCACAGUACAAUAACUGUGAGGAAAAUAAUUUUGUGCACAAUACUUUACGUAGGAAGGAAACUAUAUUAAUACUAUAAAUAAUUUGAUUUAAGCAGAAAUAUAAGUAAACUUAAAUACAGGCUUUUGUAAAUCCAAGCCUAUUUAUUUUAUCCAGUUUUAAAAUUCAAUUCCUAUUUAUUAUCUAUUUAAACCUACUCUGUGGAGCAUACUUACACCCCUCGAAAUUAUCAGAAUUAAGAAAAAUUCAGUAAUUAUUAUGUCAAAAAUAUUCUGUAAAAGUAAAUUAUUCAACGGAGAAAAAAACUCCCAAAAAUACUGCAUAAGCAUAUAUGGUAAACAAAAAAACUGAAGUGAUUAUCAUAAUCAUGAAGUAAUUUUAAGAAACUGAAAAUGAUUAUCAAAGUAAACAAUAUAUGAAAUAAUAACAAAUCAAGAUCAUGUACCUACAAAACCAAUUUUUGUAAAUACCAUCCUAACUUUUGAUAGCAGAAAAUAACAUUGUUUACUGCCCAAAAUAUUGUACAGAAGAGAGAGCUCUAAAAUACUAAUCAUAAGCCAAUAAAUCUUACCUUCUACAACAAAUUGCCCACUUCUGAAAUUUGUUUUCACUAGUACUUUUCUAUGUGCACUAACUGCAAUGGCACAGUAAAAGAUACUCUGCAACUAGAAACAAAAUUCUAGAUUUUGUUUUCCAAAGUUGGAUACUUGCAUAUUAAACUAUCUCAAAAGGAGACCCACCUGUGUAAUGUCUUUAUCUAUCUGGAACAGGGGUUGGUAAACUUUUUCUGUGAAGUGCCAGACAGUAAAAUAUUUUAGGUUUUGUGAGUCAUACAGUCUGUCACAAUUAUACAACUCUGCCCUUAUAGUGAAAAAUCUGCCACAGGUAAUACUUAAAUGAAUGGGCAAUGUUGCAUUCCAAUAACAACUUAUUUCCAAAAGUAGGCACCAGGCUAGAUUUGGCCCAUAAGCUGUAGUUUCUUCCUCCUUCAUCUAGAAAACCAGAUUUUCUCUCAAUUUCUUAUUUCCAGAAAUGUGUAGUUAUUUAUUCAGGAAAAAAAAAAAGUCUACUAAUGGUAAAAACUGGUGUUAGAAUGAUAUACUUUAUAAAUAGAAAAAAACUACAGAAUGUUUUCUCUAGAGACCUGUAAGAGUGAAGAUCUGACUAAUAAUGAAGGGGAAAAAGUCUCUUCAGAGAUGUUUGAGUCUAGCAUUUGACAAAGUUGAAAUCGAUUCUUUCUUCUAUUUUAGCUAAGCAAGGUCACCCAAUAAAGGUUAAAGAAAUGUGACACCCACAGGUAGUUUUAAAACUAUUCCAUAUUAGGGCAGAAACACAGUGAUAAAAUGAAACCUUUCAUUAAAUAUAUUAACAUAAUUCUAUAUAUUGGCUGAUGUUCUGUACCACCUAACACAAUGCUCCACCAACAAGGUUGAAAGACGUUUAUGGUAAUAGCAACAUAAUUACUGCAACUCUUGGUGUAUAAUGACAACUGUAUUAACAAGAUCUGAUUUAGUCCCUGGAUAACUCCAAGAACAUAGGACAUAGAAUGAAGAAGUAACCAUCUCAAACCUUGAUAAAGCAACAACUACAAACCUUCCUUUGCUACUCUCUUAAGUACACCUUUACUUCCCUGAAGUAUCUGCUCCCCUAGCCACAUGGGCUCAGAAACUCAAGAGGUUUCAUAUGAACAAUGCAUCAGAAAAAAAGAGCCUGGGGUGGAUGUGCAGAGGUGUGUGUGUAUAUGUGUCUGCCUGUCUUAAGACAGUUUAUGAUUGCUUUGAUAUUUAAUAUAAAGCUUGGAACAUAUUCAGACUAAGAAAUAUAAGUAUAGUAUACCUAAAGUCAUCUGAUAUCCCUCCAAAUGAAAAAAACAAUUACUUAAAAUAUUGGUAAAUAAAAAUGAAUAGGAUACGCAUCACCCAUGAGAUAAACUUGCCAAAAAAGUGUAAUAUGAAGCUAACCAGUAAGACUCAAUCAGACAAAUCUGGAAUGUAGAACCCUUCAUAAGACAAUUCACCUGGAUUUUUCAAAAGUCAAAGUCAUAAAAAAUAAAGGUAAGGAAUGAAUCCAAGUUGGGGACCAGACUCAUAACACACAUACUGUCAAUAAUUAUUUUGGAUUAAAAAAGUUAUAAAGGAAAUUUUGGAGGCAACCAGAGAAAUCUGAAUACUGUCUGUUAGAUAAUAUGGUAUCAAUGUUAAAUUUCUUGGAUAAUAAACUAUGAUUAUAUAUGGGAAUUCUUAGGUACAUGCUGAAGUAUUUAGGGAUAAAAUGCCGUGGUAUCUGCCAUUUUCAAAUGGCUCAGAAAAAGAGUUAUAUUAAUAUACAGAUAAAAUAGUGUGAUAAAAUAUUAAGUGGUAAAUCCAGGUGAAA